UCGAGAAUCUUUCACAAUGGGGGAAACCCUGAUGGAGUGACGCCGCGUGGAGGUUAAGGUCUUCGGAUUGUAAACUCCUGUCAUGCGAGAACAAAGCCCGCAAGGGUGUGAUAGUACCGCAAGAGGAAGAGACGGCUAACUCUGUGCCAGCAGCCGCGGUAAUACAGAGGUCUCAAGCGUUGUUCGGAAUUACUGGGCGUAAAGGGUGCGCAGGCCGCGCGGGCAGUCAAAUGUGUAAUUCAGGGGCUCAACCCCUGCACUGCGCUUGAUACUUCCGCGCUCGAGCUUUGGAGAGGAGUCUGGAAUUCUCGGUGUAGCAGUGAAAUGCGUGGAUAUCGAGAAGAACACUUAGGGCGAAGGCAAGACUCUGGACAAAUGCUGACGCUCAUGCACGAAGGCUAGGGUAGCGAACGGGAUUAGAUACCCCGGUAGUCCUAGCUGUAAACGGUGCACGUUUGGUGUGGGA
rnacentral:rRNA from 1 species